UAUAGUUGUGAGUCAGUUAGCAACAUGCUUAUUUGUUAUGUAAUUGUAAACCGCAGCUUUGCGCAGUAGGCUGGACAUAGUGCGCAAGAAAUAUAUAACAAAUAAUAAUAUAGUGUUUUUGGGCUCAUUUAUGAGCCGAGCCAGAGUUAUUGUACUAGACAGUGGCAUGCUGUGGUGUCGCCGGCAACAUCGAAUUCCGUGGGCGAAGGCGGUGCCACUGUACACACUGCUCGCGUUUGUUGUGCCAACCGACGCCGGCGCAGGGGCUUGUGAAAUUUUAGACUUGCUUUACGCUAACAAGACACAACAGGCUGAGUGGUGCCCGGCGCUCCGAGCGGUGUCCGUGCAGGGGCGGCAGCGCGGCGUGUCGGUGUGGUGGGACGGGCGCGCGCCGAGCCGCGCCGCCGCCGCGCUGCUGCUGGCCGCGCUGCGCCACGGCCUGCGCUACCGCGGCCUGCGCCUGCGCCGCGCGCGCUCCUCCUUCUGCGAUUUCGUUCGCCAACUACCCUAUAACUGUGAAGACGACAAUGGCGACUACGACGAUGUUGCAGUGAUACCAUCAGCGGUGCAAUGCGAUGCGAUAAAUAUUUGCGAGGAGGCGGACGGCGUGUCGCGGCUGCGGCCGGUGGGCGCGGGUGCAGCGCCGGCCACACUGCACCUCCACGUCUAUCUCGUGGAGCACGCUCGCAAACAACCGCUUUGCAUGGACGCACUCCACUGGACUUUCUUUGAAAAUUCGACUGCGAUAGAACUCUGUUCGUUUCAAAUGAUAACCAAUCAUACUGCUCUACAGAAACAUGCUGUUGUUUUCACAUCAGAGGAAUUAGUUACCCGAGCUCAAGAGUUAGCCGACAUCAUACCACUUUUAACGAUAAAAUCUUUACAAACAGAAUCGCGUCACUUUUUAUUUAAUUUAUUACGUAGUAAUAUGUCAUUUCUCUUUUUGGACUAUGAUAUAUGGGCUGACGCACAAAAUAUUCAGAUCGUUGAAUCACCUCCCAUAUCAUUGUUUGAACCCAUCUGCACCCUGCGCUACACAAACGCCAAGCUACUUAAACAAUUUGCACCGCAACUAUAUGAGGUCGCUCUUCACUUUGCACCCACCGCCAACGAAUUGCGAAUAGUUCUCGAACUUGAAGCUAAUCAUACUGAUUCUAAUAUUACAGAGGCUGCCUGCAACUGGGCCAUUAAAAAUAAAGUUAAAUUUGAUUCGUGGCUUGAGACGGCGCGAAAGUUUAGACCCCAGUAUUGGAUAGCUGUGUUUAUGUGCAAAGAUUAUGAAGACAUUAAACAAUAUAAAAGAGUUGCACAACGAGUUAUUAAUGUAAUAACUAGCAAACAUACACGAAUAAAGUUAAAACUCGAGGUCAUAGAAGAUAUCGAUUGCACAUCUGAACACGAUCUAAAAGUAAAAUUAUUGAAAUUCCGAGAGCAAUCUAAAUGGACAGAAAUGAUAGGCGCAUUAGCAACGGGUGCUGGAGUUAAAGGAGCAGCAUACGUUGCUACGGAGAUAGAUACUGCUCUAGUAUUAUAUGAUACGCCGACACCAGACAUAAAUCCGGGAAAUAGUACUCGAAUCGUCGGCGGACUUCUAACGGACUUAGUUUUCGCCCUGCAACAAAUCCUCCUUAAUUGUAAUUGGAGGCGUCUUGCGGUGCUCUCCGAUGGCACACACCUUGCUUCCGUUUAUAUAGAUACACUCCUUGAAAACAGCACAUUGGCCAUACGUAACAUUACUCUAAAAAUGAACACUUCUCUUUCUGAAAUCCGAGAUCACUUGCAAAUAUUACAAAAAGAUAAAGCACGUAUCUUUUUUGUGAACACAGACGCCAAGACUGCAACAUUGAUUUUAUGUGAGGCACUCCAUCUUGAUAUGACAAGAGAUACUGGACAUAUUUGGAUAUUACGCGAGUGGCAUGCGAAGAAUUACACGUGUGUCGAUUCUUCUAAGCAAUACAAAGUAAUGAAACAUUUUACCAUAUCAUAUUGGUGGCGAGGAGGCACAAUUAAAACUAACUACUUCAACGGCAAUGAUAAUGAGAUGCUACAAGCACUGAAUGAAUUGUGGGAAGAGGGGAGCGUUUGGCCACGGCUAGCUGCUCCUUUAGCUGAUGGACUAAUAUUGCUGAUAAACAGUUUCUAUACUUUUGUUGAACGGUGCAAUCGAAAUCUUCAAGAUCUACAUGGUGAUGGCACUACUGGAUUAUUAUGGACGAAUCUGAACAAGCAAGUUUAUGGAAUUGCACAAGAACUACAUCCAAAGAAAUACACAUAUGUUAACCCGGUCAUUUUUGUUGAUGAGUGGCAUGGCGCAGUGCGUCGUCCUAUAGUUGCGUGGCAAAUUGGCAAAGAUCGCAACAAUAGACGUAACGCCUGUUUUAUAUGUUCCGAAGAAACACUUUCGGAUGGAAGCAAAUAUUGUCUAACUACAAGUUCUAAUAAAGAUGAAUUUUCACCACACUGUCAUGAUAAUGCAUGGAUCAUAGCUACGGUUACAUUUACAUUCGGAGUGUUAGCAUUAUAUAAGACACAAAGAUUAAGAGCUACAUUAUUUAAACAAAGUAUUUCACGUCCACUAGGAGCUAGAGAAAAUGUAUCCGCGCUUGCGGAAUAUCUCGUCGAUCGCACAGCGUUAGAAUUUCACCAAGACCUUGGAUAUGGACGAUUUGGAAGAGUGCAGUUUGCAAUUCUUCGUACUCCAAAUCGAUCGACUGUUGUUGUCGCUGUUAAGUCUUUACACGAGAACUCAGUACCGGCUGAAGAGACCGAAUUUUUACGCGAAGCGUGUAUCCUUGCCUCCCUCCGACAUAAAAACGUGGUUCGGCUAAUUGGUGUAUGUGCCAUGGAUGGGCCCCCAUUAGUGCUCAUGGAACAUGCAUUUUUUGGCGAUCUACUGAGAUACUUACGUGAGCGUCGCCAUCUCAUCGAACAUGUGCACGAUGAAGUUCCCGAAGAGGCGACACAUGUUUCCGCUCGCGCCCUCACGCGACUGGCCCGAGAAGCCUCAUCGGCGCUUGCUUACUUAACGCAACGACGACUGGUGCACCGCGAUGUGCGCGCCUCGAAUUGUCUAAUAGAUGCUCGCCGAUCACUGAAACUUGCAGACUUCGGGAUGGCUCGGGAGACAACGAGUAAAGAUGGAGUUGCUGAAUAUACCUGUCGACGUCGGGGCUUUUUCCCCGUACUUUGGAUGGCACCAGAAAGUCUCGAUCGCGGCGUUUUUUCCGCUGCGACUGACAUAUGGGCUCUUGGUGUAUUGAUACUCGAAUUGGUGACACUGGGCAAGCGACCAUAUGGCGCUUGGCCACUUCAGCGGGUACUGCACUACGUCAUAGCAGGAGGGAGACCGCCGCUGCCCCUUGACUCUUCUCUAAAAACACGCGGAUUGCUGCUGUCGUGUUGGCGCCGCGUAACAGACCAUCGACCGACAGCAGCUGAAAUAACAGCUUACCUCGAAGCGAACCCGCUCGCUUUGUCACCAGCAUUAGAAACGGCGACAUUAUCCCUAGAAGAUACAGUCAUUGACAGAUUUGACUUUAUAGAAAAGGAGUAGAAACAUGCGGCGAUGAGCGGCCGCAUGUCGUCCGGGCGGCUGCUCGUCGUCCUCGCCACCGCCGCCGUCUCCGCGGCCGUCGCCGCUCCCCACACCGACACCGACUACUGCCAUCAACUCGAUGUCAAACUUAACAAUGCUAUGGAUCUGAAUCUGCAGUCCUAUAUGCUCCACCCGAAUGGAAUAUCACUGCGUUACAUGAAAGAACUAUCGUCGGAUCCCGGCUCACCGUCCGCCUACUCGAUUCAAACGCAGAACCACGCCAUCAACUAGUCC